CCUACGGGGGGCAGCAGUAGGGAAUCUUCGGCAAUGGACGGAAGUCUGACCGAGCAACGCCGCGUGAGUGAAGAAGGUUUUCGGAUCGUAAAGCUCUGUUGUAAGAGAAGAACGAGUGUGAGAGUGGAAAGUUCACACUGUGACGGUAUCUUACCAGAAAGGGACGGCUAACUACGUGCCAGCAGCCGCGGUAAUACGUAGGUCCCGAGCGUUGUCCGGAUUUAUUGGGCGUAAAGCGAGCGCAGGCGGUUAGAUAAGUCUGAAGUUAAAGGCUGUGGCUUAACCAUAGUACGCUUUGGAAACUGUUUAACUUGAGUGCAGAAGGGGAGAGUGGAAUUCCAUGUGUAGCGGUGAAAUGCGUAGAUAUAUGGAGGAACACCGGUGGCGAAAGCGGCUCUCUGGUCUGUAACUGACGCUGAGGCUCGAAAGCGUGGGGAGCAAACAGGAUUAGAUACCCGGGUAGUC
rnacentral:rRNA from 1 species